AUGCCCAGCCAGAGUGUGAUGGUUCCACAAUUCCUGCUUUCACCAUUUCUUCAAGCUGCUCUUUUACAACAAACUGCUUGGCAGGUGACAUGCGAUGCCGUUAUGAAUGCAGGUUGGGGUGGAGGAACAGAACUUAAUAGUGAGAGGGAUGGGUUGAGUGUCCUUGGACGCUGCUCUGGUUGUUGGCCUGAAGGGUUAGGUACAGUGGGCCAAGUGACCAAGGCUUGA
ensembl:lncRNA